AGCGGUGCCUGAGCGCAGGGACCCUGGCUGUGGGUGUGUUCUGCGUCAGUUGAGACGCCCUCUGCUGGCCGUUACUGAGCGGCGGACGGAGCUGUGCGCGCAUCCUCUCGAGGCGGUCUAGUGGAAUCAAGUAGGUUCUUGAGACCUGCUUCUUUGCUGAUGGCAAAGGGAAGCUCGCCUCCGACUGUUCCGGCUCGUUUCUGCGACCAGCCUUUGAUCACAGCUAUAGUAAAUGAAUGCGCAGAGGAGCGCGCGGCCAAUCCCUCACCGCGAGACACGCCUUCGUUUGCCGUUUCACCAACGGCCAGCAGACGGCGCCCGACUCUCCUUGGGAUCAACUGGCGUCUCAACAGUGGAGGGAAGCUCGUGCUCAGGUUCUCCAAUAUUCUGAGAUUCCCAGUGUGAGAAGCCAGCUUAGUUUGUCGCUGUUCCAACUGUGUGACACCCCGGGGGCUGUGGAAAUAGUUAAAAAGUGAUCUUUCCCUGGGUCCCGGACCACCCAGGGGGAACUCCGCCACGGCGGAGAUCUCUUAAGUCUUCAAAUACUGAGCGUAGAACCUCCCAUUCUCACUCUAAACUUCCUCAUAUAACAAUAUAGUGCAAUAUAGUGAAAAGUAUUUUAUAAAAGUAUGAAUUUAUUGAGACCUUUGGAGACUGGAAAUCAUCAGACACUGUGUGGUAUUUCCAUGUUCAGUAUUGUUUCUUGAGAGAUAUGCCAACAAAAACCCAGAGAAAGGGAACACCUAUCUACAAUGGGAACAAGGUCCCUGAAACAUCCCCAGGUGCUUUAAAUUCCUCAUUCUGGGCCAGGCACUGACUUUCCCACAUGAACCAGAGCCCUGCUGCUCCUCCUUCAGUCCUCCAGAUGGUCCCAUCUCCAAGAGCUAUCUUUUGGGAGAUGUCCAUGUGCCUGACCCUGAGGGCCUGCUCCCCCCACUCCACACACACACAGCUUCUCUGUCCUUACACCUGGGUUGUAGAGAUGAGGACCACUUGGGUAAAUUAGUACUAAGGCUAGCUGUUGUUAAACAGACUCAGAUACUCCAAAGUAAUUGCAAACUUCUUCAAUCCCUCAAAAUUUCUUCAAAAUGUGCAAAAUGAUGUAAUUACUGCUCGUGGUUAUCAUAUGUAAUUACUAGGAUAAUGCUGUAUUAUCCCAGUAACUAACUUAGGUCAACAUGCAGUGCACCAAGCUAGUGGCACAAAGGGCUCUCUGGCUGCCCCGGGGUCCAUUUCUCUGCUGGUUUCUUGGGGACUCCCGGGACGCCUGUGCCUCCUCUUAGUGACUCACUCUCGUGACUCUUGUCUUUCAGCAAUGCUUACACGCCCUCCCAUGGCACUUAGCAGACAACAAGGAUGUGCUGGUGUCAGAAGCCUCACUGGGAUGGUGGUGAGUCUCUCAUCUGGGCUGAGCAGUGGUCCAGACUGAGGCAGAGGAACUGCCCUUGUUACAGAGGGCGGGCCCACCUGGAAUGCGAGCUGUGACUGUCUCCUGAGGUCUCUCCAGGCUGCGUCCAGAUGGAAAAUCCCAGGGGCGCCCCCACCCUGAAGGCCAGUCGUAGGCAGCAAGGACGGGCUCCCGCAGGAUGUCAC